CCGGGUAACCGUACUAUAAACCGACACAGGUGGGCGGGGAGAAUAUCCUAAGGCGCUCGUGAGAACCCUCGUUAAGGAACUCGGCAAAUUAGUCCCGUAACUUCGGAAUAAGGGACGCCCCGUUAACGUGAAGCCCCUGCGGGCGGAGCGUGAAGGGGCCGCAGUGAAUUGGGCCAAGCGACUGUUUAUCAAAAACACAGGACUCUGCAAAAUCGUAAGAUAAAGUAUAGGGUCUGACACCUGCCCGGUGCCGGAAGGUUAAAAGGAGAGGUUAGCAAGGUUUACUUUGCGAAGCUUUGAAUUGAAGCCCCGGUAAACGGCGGCCGUAACUAUGACGGUCCUUAGGUAGCGAAAUUCCUUGUCGGGUAAGUUCCGACCUGCACGAAUGGUGUAACGACUUGGUCACUGUCUCAACGAGGGACUCGGUGAAAUUGUAAUACUCGUGAAGAUGCGGGUUACCUGCAGAAGGACGGAAAGACCCCGUGGACCUUUACUGCAGCCUGACAUUGUAGCUUGGUACAGUAUGUGUAGGAUAGGUGGGAGACUUUGAAGCCUCGGCGCCAGCCGGGGUGGAGUCAACGUUGAAAUACCACCCUUACUCUAUUGGGCUACUAACUUGCUUCUGUUGAUCCAGGGCAAGGACACUGUCUGGUGGGCAGUUUGACUGGGGCGGUCGCCUCCAAAAAUGUAACGGAGGCGCCCUAAGGUUCCCUCAGCACGGUCGGAAAUCGUGCGUAGAGUGUAAACGCAUAAGGGAGCUUGACUGCGAGACCAACAAGUCGAGCAGGUACGAAAGUAGGGGUUAGUGAUCCGGUGGUUCUGUGUGGAAAGGCCAUCGCUCAACGGAUAAAAGGUACCCCGGGGAUAACAGGCUUAUAGUGCCCAAGAGUUCGUAUCGACGGCACUGUUUGGCACCUCGAUGUCGACUCUUCGCAUCCUGGGGCUGGAGAAGGUCCCAAGGGUUCGGCUGUUCGCCGAUUAAAGCGGAACGCGAGUUGGGUUCAGAACGUCGUGAGACAGUUUGGUCUCUAUCCUCUGCAGGCGUUGGAAAUUUGAGAAGAUCUGUCCCUAGUACGAGAGGACCGGGAUGGACGAACCUCUGGUGUACCAGUUGUCGCGCCAGCGGCAGCGCUGGGUAGCUAUGUUCGGAAGGGAUAACCGCUGAAAGCAUCUAAGCGGGAAGCCUACUUCAAGAUUAGAUUUCCCUUGGACUUCGAGUCCACUGAAGACCCCUCGUAGACUACGAGGUUGAUAGGCUGGAGGUGUAAGCGCAGCAAUGUGUUCAGCCGACCAGUACUAAUCGGUCGUGAGGCUUGACCG
rnacentral:rRNA from 1 species